rnacentral:rRNA from 1 species
GAUGAACGCUGGCGGCGUGCCUAAUACAUGCAAGUCGAGCGAACAGACGAGGAGCUUGCUCCUCUGACGUUAGCGGCGGACGGGUGAGUAACACGUGGAUAACCUACCUAUAAGACUGGGAUAACUUCGGGAAACCGGAGCUAAUACCGGAUAAUAUAUUGAACCGCAUGGUUCAAUAGUGAAAGACGGUUUUGCUGUCACUUAUCGAUGGAUCCGCGCCGCAUUAGCUAGUUGGUAAGGUAACGGCUUACCAAGGCAACGAUGCGUAGCCGACCUGAGAGGGUGGUCGGCCACACUGGAACUGAGACACGGUCCAGACUCCUACGGGAGGCAGCAGUAGGGAAUCUUCCGCAAUGGGCGAAAGCCUGACGGAGCAACGCCGCGUGAGUGAUGAAGGUCUUCGGAUCGUAAAACUCUGUUAUUAGGGAAGAACAAAUGUGUAAGUAACUAUGCACGUCUUGACGGUACCUAAUCAGAAAGCCACGGCUAACUACGUG